rnacentral:rRNA from 1 species
AUUGAACGCUGGCAGCAGGCCUAACACAUGCAAGUCGAGCGGAUGACGGGAGCUUGCUCCUUGAUUCAGCGGCGGACGGGUGAGUAAUGCCUAGGAAUCUGCCUGGUAGUGGGGGACAACGUUUCGAAAGGAACGCUAAUACCGCAUACGUCCUACGGGAGAAAGCAGGGGACCUUCGGGCCUUGCGCUAUCAGAUGAGCCUAGGUCGGAUUAGCUAGUAGGUGAGGUAAUGGCUCACCUAGGCGACGAUCCGUAACUGGUCUGAGAGGAUGAUCAGUCACACUGGAACUGAGACACGGUCCAGACUCCUACGGGAGGCAGCAGUGGGGAAUAUUGGACAAUGGGCGAAAGCCUGAUCCAGCCAUGCCGCGUGUGUGAAGAAGGUCUUCGGAUUGUAAAGCACUUUAAGUUGGGAGGAAGGGCAGUAAGUUAAUACCUUGCUGUUUUGACGUUACCGACAGAAUAAGCACCGGCUAACUCUGUGCCAGCAGCCGCCGUAAUAC